rnacentral:tRNA from 1 species
UCCCUGGUGGUCCAGUGGUUAAGACUCCACGCUCCCAACGCCGGGGGCCUGGAUUCGAUCCCUAGUUAGGGAA